rnacentral:rRNA from 1 species
UGCUUAGUGUGUUCCAGACGCCGCGGGAAUAUAGGGGGUGCGAGCGUUUAUCUGAUUUACGGGGCGUAGAGCGCGCGGAGGUUGCUUAUUAAGUCAAAUGUUAAAUCCCCGAGCUUAACUUGGGAAUUGCAUUCGAUACUGGUUGGCUAGAGUAUGGGAGAGGAUGGUAGAAUUCCAGGUGUAGCGGUGAAAUGCGUAGAGAUCUGGAGGAAUACCGAUGGCGAAGGCAGCCAUCUGGCCUAAUACUGACACUGAGGUGCGAAAGCAUGGGGAGCAAACAGGAUUAGAUACCCGGGUAGUC